rnacentral:rRNA from 1 species
GACGAACGCUGGCGGCGUGCUUAACACAUGCAAGUCGAACGCUGAAGCUCAGCUUUUGUUGGGUGGAUGAGUGGCGAACGGGUGAGUAACACGUGAGUAACCUGCCCUCUUCUUUGGGAUAACGCCCGGAAACGGGUGCUAAUACUGGAUAUUCACUGGCCUUCGCAUGGGGGUUGGUGGAAAGGUUUGUUCUGGUGGGGGAUGGGCUCGCGGCCUAUCAGCUUGUUGGUGGGGUGAUGGCCUACCAAGGCUUUGACGGGUAGCCGGCCUGAGAGGGUGACCGGUCACAUUGGGACUGAGAUACGGCCCAGACUCCUACGGGAGGCAGCAGUGGGGGAUAUUGCACAAUGGGCGAAAGCCUGAUGCAGCGACGCCGCGUGAGGGAUGGAGGCCUUCGGGUUGUAAACCUCUUUCGCUCAUGGUCAAGCCGCAACUGUGGGUUGUGGUGAGGGUAGUGGGUAAAGAAGCGCCGGCUAACUACGUGCCAGCAGCCGCGGUAAUACGUAGGGCGCGAGCGUUGUCCGGAAUUAUUGGGCGUAAAGGGCUUGUAGGCGGUUGGUCGCGUCUGCCGUGAAAUUCUCUGGCUUAACUGGGGGCGUGCGGUGGGUACGGGCUGACUUGAGUGCGGUAGGGGAGACUGGAACUCCUGGUGUAGCGGUGGAAUGCGCAGAUAUCAGGAAGAACACCGGUGGCGAAGGCGGGUCUCUGGGCCGUUACUGACGCUGAGGAGCGAAAGCGUGGGGAGCGAACAGG